UGGAUCCAGACUUUGAUUAUGGCUCAGGAUGAACGCUAGCUACAGGCUUAACACAUGCAAGUCGAGGGGAAACGACAUCGAAAGCUUGCUUUUGAUGGGCGUCGACCGGCGCACGGGUGAGUAACGCGUAUCCAACCUGCCCACCACUUGGGGAUAACCUUGCGAAAGUAAGACUAAUACCCAAUGAUAUCUCUAGAAGACAUCUGAAAGGGAUUAAAGAUUUAUCGGUGAUGGAUGGGGAUGCGUCUGAUUAGCUUGUUGGCGGGGUAACGGCCCACCAAGGCGACGAUCAGUAGGGGUUCUGAGAGGAAGGUCCCCCACAUUGGAACUGAGACACGGUCCAAACUCCUACGGGAGGCAGCAGUGAGGAAUAUUGGUCAAUGGGCGAGAGCCUGAACCAGCCAAGUAGCGUGCAGGAUGACGGCCCUAUGGGUUGUAAACUGCUUUUAUAAGGGAAUAAAGUGAGCCUCGUGAGGCUUUUUGCAUGUACCUUAUGAAUAAGGACCAGCUAAUUCCGUGCCAGCAGCCGCGGUAAUACGGAAGGUCCGGGCGUUAUCCGGAUUUAUUGGGUUUAAAGGGAGCGUAGGCCGGAGAUUAAGCGUGUUGUGAAAUGUAGACGCUCAACGUCUGCACUGCAGCGCGAACUGGUUUCCUUGAGUACGCACAAAGUGGGCGGAAUUCGUGGUGUAGCGGUGAAAUGCUUAGAUAUCACGAAGAACUCCGAUUGCGAAGGCAGCUCACUGGAGCGCAACUGACGCUGAAGCUCGAAAGUGCGGGUAUCGAACAGGAUUAGAUACCCUGGUAGUCCGCACGGUAAACGAUGGAUGCCCGCUGUAGGUCUGAAUAGGUCAGCGGCCAAGCGAAAGCAUUAAGCAUCCCACCUGGGGAGUACGCCGGCAACGGUGCAACUCAAAUGAAUUGACGGA
rnacentral:rRNA from 1 species